UACGUAGGGGGCGAGCGUUGUCCGAAGUUACUGGGCGUAAAGCGCGCGUAGGCGGCUGCUUAAGUUAGAUGUGAAAUCCUGCGGCUCAACCGCAGAACUGCAUCUGAAACUGGGCGGCUAGAGGAUGGAAGAGGGCAGUGGAAUUCCUGGUGUAGCGGUGAAAUGCGUAGAUAUCAGGAGGAACACCCGAGGGGAAGGCGGCUGCCUGGUCCAUAUCUGACGCUGAGGUGCGAAAGCCAGGGGAGCGAACGGG
rnacentral:rRNA from 1 species